AGAGGCAGUGAGUCACAGCUGAGGCAGAGAGAAGGCAGAGCAGCCGAAGGAAGGAGAACUAAUUAACCAGGAGUGGAGCAGGCAGAAUAAACUGGGUGUAGGUGGGCUGCCUAACUCCAGCCGUCAUCGAGUGAAAGGCAGAAGUCCAUCACAGGACUAAAAAUCUCACAGACUUGCAUUCAUGUUGUGCCCAACCAUGGAUGGAGAACAACCACCGAACUACACAAACAAAAUAGACUGGAAUAACUGUGAAUCCCAGAAUGCACUGCAUCAACCCAUUUUCAUGAAAUGCUCCAAGGAAGG